ensembl:lncRNA
GUAGCUGUCUACAUGCUUCGUGCCUGGUCUGUGUCACGGCACAGGCAAUAGAGACUUGUUGGGAAAGCCUGAAGACAACCUACUGCAGCCUACAGAGUGGUGAGGCGCUGGCAGUGCUGCCCAGAGAAGCUGUGGGCGUCCCAUCCCUAGAGGUGCUCAAGGCUGAGUUGGAUGGGGCCCUGGGCAGCCUGAGCUCAUAGGGGGCAGCUGGCCCAUGGCAGGGGAUUGGAACUGGAUGAUCUUUAAGGUCCCCUCCAACCUAAGCCAUUCUAUGAUUCUGCAGCAGUGCUGUUUGGAGAGUUGCUUACCUACGGAUUGGGUGCUGCUGAUGGCAGCUGGAGACCUAGCUGAAGGCAAGCACAGGGAAUUGUUUUACCUGGGCCCUGCAGGUGAAUGAUACAGAAACAAAGAGGGACAAAAAUUUGAAGAGGUGCGUCGGGGAAAGGAAGGAACUGCAAUGUGAACAGCUGGAACCGUCUACGAAAGUCAACCCAAGCACCUCUUCCAACACCUGGGGCUACGGGUGACCUUCUAGGCUUUGCUGUUACACCAUUUCAGGAGCCCUCCUUCCCCCUGGGGCUGGCUCUGCUUGGAAGCGGCGGAGGCUGACACCUCCCGCUGAGCAGCCUUCCCUGCAGGAACGGCAGUCCUCUCGCGUUACUCUGGGGACACAACGCCUCGGUGCUGAUGGGACCAGACAGGAUCCGUCACUGUGCUGAUGUGUCUCCUCCACAAAAUAUC